rnacentral:rRNA from 1 species
ACGCUCGACACCUACGGGAGGCAGCAGUCGGGAAUAUUGCGCAAUGGAGGAAACUCUGACGCAGUGACGCCGCGUAUAGGAAGAAGGUUUUCGGAUUGUAAACUAUUGUCGUUAGGGAAGAAAAAGGCAGUACCUAAGGAGGAAGCUCCGGCUAACUACGUACCAGCAGCCGCGGUAAUCUGAGCGGGCUGGCAAGGC